AGAGUUUGAUCAUGGCUCAGAGUGAACGCUGGCGGCAGGCCUAACACAUGCAAGUCGAACGGCAGCACAGGGGAGCUUGCUCCCUGGGUGGCGAGUGGCGGACGGGUGAGGAAUGCGUCGGAAUCUGCCUUUUCGUGGGGGAUAACGUAGGGAAACUUACGCUAAUACCGCAUGCGACCCUGCGCCGGGAGGUGCUGGGUGAAAGCGGGGGACCUUCGGGCCUCGCGCGGAAAGAUGAGCCGACGCCGGAUUAGCUAGUUGGCGGGGUAACGGCCCACCAAGGCGACGAUCCGUAGCUGGUCUGAGAGGAUGAUCAGCCACACUGGAACUGAGACACGGUCCAGACUCCUACGGGAGGCAGCAGUGGGGAAUAUUGGACAAUGGGCGCAAGCCUGAUCCAGCCAUGCCGCGUGAGUGAAGAAGGCCUUCGGGUUGUAAAGCUCUUUUGUUGGGAAAGAAAAGCUUUCGGUUAAUAACCGGGAGUCCUGACGGUACCCAAAGAAUAAGCACCGGCUAACUUCGUGCCAGCAGCCGCGGUAAUACGAAGGGUGCAAGCGUUACUCGGAAUUACUGGGCGUAAAGCGUGCGUAGGUGGUGGUUUAAGUCUGAUGUGAAAGCCCUGGGCUCAACCUGGGAAUGGCAUUGGAAACUGGAUCACUGGAGUGCGGUAGAGGAUGGCGGAAUUCCCGGUGUAGCAGUGAAAUGCGUAGAGAUCGGGAGGAACAUCCGUGGCGAAGGCGGCCAUCUGGACCAGCACUGACACUGAGGCACGAAAGGCGUGGGGAGCAAACAGGAUUAGAUACCCUGGUAGUCCCACGCCCUAAACGGGGCGAACUGGAUGUUGGGGGGCAAUCAGG
rnacentral:rRNA from 1 species